rnacentral:lncRNA from 1 species
GGCAUUUAAGCGUCGGCAUUUCCCCCUUUUACUGUAGUGAGGGAAUGCCCCUCGGUGGGGAAGGAGGAAUGAAUCGACUCCCUUUUUAUAGCCUGCCCACGUCUCUCUCCUCCCCUCUUUUGAAUCAAGGAUAAGGAUGCAAAGGAUCAUGUGGACGCUCACGGCUGAGAGGAGAUGAGGAUGACUUAUGGAGAAGACGCGUGAGGUUGUUGGGAGCUAGAACUUCGUUCGUGGCUGGGAUCACAGUCCGUGGAGCUGAGAUGAAGCUUGGACGUUGGGAGAUUACAUGGAAUCAAGCUAGAAGAGGAUGGGAUCCCGUGGAUUAUGCAAAGGAUUUGGCUUUGUUUCUUAACAGGGCCCUGUUCGUUGGACGCAGGAGAUCACCCACGGUUGGUUGGGUCAAUCCGAGAGAAGAGGAGAGUCAGGAGAUAAUCUAUGGAAUCAGUCUAAAAUGAUGGGAAGAAGUUGGGACUCGUUGGAUUCAUCAUGGUUGGGUGGAUAGGCUGGCACUCUAAGGCUCUA